AAUUAAUUAACUAUUAUUAAAAAACAAAAAGUAAGAUGUGAGUUGUCGUUCGUAAUUCCCUACCUCUCUUGUUCUUGUAUUUUUUAUUUAUGUUUAUAUGUUCUCUUUUUUUCUUCCUUUG
rnacentral:ribozyme from 14 species